AGGAUGAGAUCAGCACAACUGCAUACUGUUAAUCUUACAGAAAAUGACUUGGUCAAAGAACACUUGAGAUAUUUGAUGGGUGGUAGAUCAAAUCUUCACGAUGAGCUUUUUUGUCCAUUCACUUUCCCCGAGAAGGCUGGCGCUUUAUGGAAGUUUUUAGAUGCUUUCAGCCCGCGUUGGAAUGUAACUUUGAUCCAUUAUCGUGCAUAGGGACAAAUUGGUGCAAAUGUUUUAGUUGGCAUACUAGUUCCACAGGACGAGUUUGAAUUCCAGGGCCGCGCUGGCAGACUCGGUUAUGAGUACGUUAUGGAGAGUCUCAAUGAUGCUUUCAAGCUUAUAAUAUAUUGAUGAAAACUUUGGCCUUUCGAAAUUCGUCGUACAAAUAAUAUCUUUGGGAAGAAUAUUGGUUAUGGAUGCAAGGCACAGUAAGAUCUACCAUAUUAUAUUGAUGUAAAACCUAAAAUGUUUCC